GUGUCAGCAGCCGCGGUAAUACGGGGGGAGCAAGCGUUGUUCGGAUUUACUGGGCGUAAAGGGCGCGUAGGCGGCCAGUGCAAGUCAGUUGUGAAAUCUCCGAGCUUAACUCGGAAAGGUCAACUGAUACUGCUCGGCUAGAGUGCGGAAGGGGCAACUGGAAUUCUUGGUGUAGCGGUGAAAUGCGUAGAUAUCAAGAGGAACACCUGCGGCGAAGGCGGGUUGCUGGGCCGACACUGACGCUGAUGCGCGAAAGCUAGGGGAGCGAACGGGAUUAGAUACCCGAGUAGUCC
rnacentral:rRNA from 1 species